CAAAUAAGAGCAGAUGCUUCUGUGGCUGGGAUUUAAUUCCCUACUUUUCCUAUGACGUGUUUGAGGAUGAAAGCGGAGCAGUGAUGGGUGAAGAGCCCUCGUUGUUCUGUACAAUGAAAGGAAAAACAGACAACCAGUUCUUUCCAGGUUUUCUUUCUCAACACUCGAUGAUCAAGAAUUCAUUCUUCAGACACGCCCGUGUACUGAUACAUGCACCCGCAAACGAUGAUGACCAAAGACAACAUACGCACGACCCUCCUGAAUUCUGCCCCAUCUGCUCCACUGUGUUGCUUUUGCCCACAACUGUCUGGAAAUGAUUAUAGAAGAUUAGUCUUGCAUAAGAAGUGGAAGAGGAGACUCGCUGAAUGGGGCUCAGUGCGUUGACCCUUCUGCAACACUCGUCCCAAAUACUUGUGUUAUUAUGUGCGAUUGGUGCUCGUGAGGAAUUAGCAGCUAGCUUGUUUGCGGUGCAUGUGUGUUGUUGUAAGUACUGCACGUUGUGCUACAGUAAGGCAAACAUGUAACUGACUUCAUGGCUGCGCCGUUCAGAUAACACAAACACAAUUAAUUCAGUGUAGGGAAAUGCAAAACAAACUCAGCCGGGCAAUUUUCUGUUCAUCUACAAAAAGCAAAAAAAAAAAAAAAAAAGAAACAAAAA